AAGCUGCGGCGGAUAUUUUUCAUCGAAAAUGACCCCAAAAUGACCCCAUCGGUUCUUGUUCAUUCCCUUUCCCAAAGCAAAAAUGUUGAAGAAAACAACAGACCCCUACACUCAAAAGAGAAGCAAUUAGUCGCAUACAGAUCUCUGUUGAACCUAUUUCCAAAAUUGAAAGAAUCUCAAAAAUUAGUCGUCUUCACCAAAUAAAUUCUAAAUCCAGUGGCCAUUCCCCUUGGAUAUUGAUCAUCUUCUUUCUCUCGAAAUUAAAGGGGCACACACAUAUACGGGUAGGGACAGAGAGCAGCGAACUCACAUGAACACUUCCCAAGUACCCGUUUCCCCUCAUUCCCCAAUUCCUACAAGCCCACCCAAAAAAUAUCGACCCAAAAAAUAUCAUAAACAAGUUGAAAAAUCAGUUUGAAACCAUCAUCCAAACCCAGUAGAAAUUAGUCUGUUCGAGGACAUCAAUUUUUGUCGCCGAUGAGUUCUCCGAUUGAGGUGUUUGUUCGUGGCUCGGUCGCUUUUUAAGUUUAUAGUUGUCCAACAAACAAAGUUCAAAUUCAGUUUAAUAAAAAGGUUCUUCUGUCUCUUGUUCCUAUAUUUUCUUUGUAUUUUAUGUGUAGGGAUAUGAUGUUACUCUUAAAUAUCAUGCUAAAUUUUUGGUUUAUGGAUAUCACUGUUUAUCUCUGAACCGGCAUGUUAAAAUGAGUAUCUUGAGUUAUAUAUUUGUUUGUCUUUUGUGUUUUAAUUGUUCAAUGUGAGAAAUUGGUUUAUGAUCGAAGAAUUCUUUCUUUAUGUAUGUGUAAGUUUAAUGUUACUGGUUCAAACGGAUACGAAAAUUAUUGGCA